CACGGAGGAUCCGAGCGUUAUCCGGAUUUAUUGGGUUUAAAGGGUGCGCAGGUUGUUUGAUAAGUCAGUGGUGAAAGUCUGUCGCUUAACGGUAGGAUUGCCAUUGAUACUGCUAGACUUGAAUAUGGAUGAGGUAGGCGGAAUGUGUAGUGUAGCGGUGAAAUGCAUAGAUAUUACACAGAACACCGAUUGCGAAGGCAGCUUACUAAUCCAUCAUUGACGCUGAGGCACGAAAGCGUGGGGAUCAAACA
rnacentral:rRNA from 1 species